GACGAACGCUGGCGGCGUGCUUAACACAUGCAAGUCGAACGGAAAGGCCCGGCUUUUGUGGGGUGCUCGAGUGGCGAACGGGGGAGUAACACGUGAGUAACCUGCCCUUGACUUUGGGAUAACUUCUGGAAACUGGGGCGAAUACCGGAUAGGAACUCCUGCAGCAUGGUGGGGGUUGGAAAGUUUCGGCGGUUGGGGAUGGACUCGAGGCUUAUCAGCUUGUUGGUGGGGUAGUGGCUUACCAAGGCGUUGACGGGUAGCCGGCCUGAGAGGGUGACCGGCCACAUUGGGACUGAGAUAGGGGCAAGACUCCUACGGGAGGCAGCAGUGGGGAAUAUUGCACAAUGGGCCGAAGCCUGAUGCAGCAGCGCCGCGUGCGGGAUGACGGCCUUCAGGUUGUAACCCGCUUUCGCCUGUGACGAAGCGUGAGUGACGGUAAUGGGUAAAGAAGCACCGGCUAACUACGUG
rnacentral:rRNA from 1 species